GCCUCCAUGGUCAAGCGGUUAAGACGCUGCCCUCUCAAGGCAGAAUCAGGGGUUCGAUUCCCCUUGGAGGUGCCA
rnacentral:tRNA from 1 species